CAAAAGAAUAAAACGAAUGACACAUUUUGACCAAUUAAAAGAAUGGCAAAAUUAUAACUUUAUAUUUCUGACAUAAAAUAAUUAUAAUUAUGGCAACUUUGAGUAAAGGAUAUAAAAUAGGAAAUUAAAUUGGAAGAAACAAGCAUAUAAGUUCAAAAGAAUCUCCUUACACUAAUGAAAGGAAAACUGUUUUACAAUCUCUAAAAAUUUAACUCACUCCACUCUCUUAGGCCCCAUUUCUUUCCCAUUCUUUGGCCAAAAAAAUGAAAAAUAUAAUCAUUAUCUGUCACAUCAAGCUACCAUAUUUGACUUCCCCUCUCUUAUGUGGAUCCCUUAGUGACUAUAUUUUUAUUUCUCAUUCUUAUAAGAAUGAGAAUGAAACGAGAGCUAAUAUUUACAAAUGAGCUAUACAUCUAAGAAUGAGAAUGAAA
rnacentral:lncRNA from 1 species